UCCUGGGAUAGCUCAGUCAGUAGAGCACGAGACUCUUAAUCUCAGGGUCGUGGGUUCAAGCCCCACAUUGGGUGAA